AACAUGAUGAAUGGAGCUCGCCUGACUUGUGAUUAACGGCUCUGCGUAAUCAGGACUUUCAGUCAGAAAAGUAGAGGGAGCCCCUUGC
rnacentral:snoRNA from 1 species